rfam:Glycine max cultivar Williams 82 chromosome 12, whole genome shotgun sequence.
GGCCUGUGAUGCAUCAAUUUGUCCGUACCAUCUGAGACCUUGUCUCUGAUGAAUGCUCAAAUUCUUUAAUCUGAGGCCU